UACGGAGGGGACUAGCGUUGUUCGGAAUUACUGGGCGUAAAGCGCACGUAGGCGGAUUUGUAAGUCAGGGGUGAAAUCCCGGGGCUCAACCUCGGAACUGCCUUUGAUACUGCAAAUCUCGAGUCCGGAAGAGGUGAGUGGAAUUCCUAGUGUAGAGGUGAAAUUCGUAGAUAUUAGGAGGAACACCGGUGGCGAAGGCGGCCCACUGGUCCGGUACUGACGCUGAGGUGCGAAAGCGUGGGGAGCAAACAGG
rnacentral:rRNA from 1 species